rnacentral:pre_miRNA from 1 species
CAACUACUCCCUUUGUCCCAAAUUUCUUGUCUUAGAUUUUUCUAGAUACAGAUGUAUCUAAUACUAAAAUGUGACUUGAUACAUCCGUAUCUAGACAAAUCUUAGACAAGAAUUUUGGGACGGAGGGAGUACUUU